rnacentral:rRNA from 1 species
UACAGAGGUGGCAAGCGUUGUUCGGAAUUACUGGGCGUAAAGGGCGCGUAGGCGGCCAUCUAAGUCAGACGUGAAAUCCCCCGGCUCAACCUGGGAACUGCGUCUGAUACUGGACGGCUUGAGUUUGGGAGAGGGAUGUAGAAUUCCAGGUGUAGCGGUGAAAUGCGUAGAUAUCGCUUGGAACGCCAAAGGUGAAGACAGGUGACUGGGGGUGUGCCGACGCUGAGACGCGAAAGCCAGGGGAGCAAACGGG